rnacentral:rRNA from 1 species
UACGAAGGGGGCUAGCGUUGUUCGGAUUUACUGGGCGUAAAGCGCACGUAGGCGGAUCGUUAAGUCGGGGGUGAAAUCCUGGAGCUCAACUCCAGAACUGCCUUCGAUACUGGCGAUCUUGAGUCCGGAAGAGGUGAGUGGAACUCCUAGUGUAGAGGUGGAAUUCGUAGAUAUUAGGAAGAACACCAGUGGCGAAGGCGGCUCACUGGUCCGGUACUGACGCUGAGGUGCGAAAGCGUGGGAGCAAACAGG